rnacentral:rRNA from 1 species
GAUGAACGCUAGCGACAGGCCUAACACAUGCAAGUCGAGGGGCAGCACAUGCGUAGCAAUACAAUGGUGGCGACCGGCGCACGGGUGAGUAACACGUAUGCAAUCUACCUGUAAGAGGGGAAUAACCCGGAGAAAUUCGGACUAACAACGCAUAAUACCUCGAAGCUGCAUGGCUUUGAGGUUAAAUCUUUAUAGCUUACAGAUGGGCAUGCGUAACAUUAGAUAGUUGGUGAGGUAACGGCUCACCAAGUCAACGAUGUUUAGGGGUUCUGAGAGGAAGGUCCACCACACUGGUACUGAGACACGGACCAGACUCCUACGGGAGGCAGCAGUGAGGAAUAUUGGUCAAUGGGCGAGAGCCUGAACCAGCCAAGUCGCGUGAAGGAAGAAGGUUCUAUGGAUUGUAAACUUCUUUUGUAAGGGAAUAAAAAAGCUAACGUGUAGGCUAUUGUAUGUACUUUACGAAUAAGGAUCGGCUAACUCCGUGCCAGCCGCCGCCGUAA